GACGAACGCUGGCGGCGUGCUUAACACAUGCAAGUCGAACGGAAAGGCCUCUUUCGGGGGGUACUCGUGUGGCGAACGGGAGUGUAACACCUGAGUAACCUGCCCUUGACUUUGGGAUAACUCCAGAAAACUGGGGCUAAUACCGGAUAGGAGCUCCUGAUGCAUGGGGGGGGUUGGACAGUUUGGGCGGGGGGGGGUGGACUGGCGGCUUAUCAGCUUGUUGGUGGGGUAGUGGCUUACCAAGGCGUUGGCGGGUAGCCGGCCAGUGAGGGUGACCGGCCACAUAGGGUCUUAGGGGCGGCCCAGGCGCGGACGUGUGGAAGCAGGGGGAAAUAUUGCACAAGGGGUGGAAGCCGGAGGCUGAAACGCCGUGGGCGGGAAGACGGCCUUCGGGUGGAAAAACGGUUUCGCUCAUGACGAGGCAGUGUGUGACGGUAGUGGGUAAAGAAGCACCGGCUAACUACGUG
rnacentral:rRNA from 1 species